ACGUGACUUCUGCGCCUUCACCAAGGCACCACUCACCAAACUUCUUGGCAUCUCAGGCCUCUGGAGACCCUGCCCUGGCCAUGGGCAACCAUUGCCAGGAAUUUCAUUGAUUCAAAUGGCCACAGGAUGGAACUGACUCUCACAGAUCACCUGACCACGAUGGCGCGCUUCAUCCCCGUGUGAACGUGUAAGGUCGAUUGAGAGGACAGAUCAGUUCCGAGUUUGCAAAGGCCAAUGACACCUUUAUUUUGCUAAAUGUAGCUUUCCCACCGAUUUCAUGCCAUGCUACGAACGGCCUCUCCGAACUUCCCAGCUAUCGACCUGGGUCACCGUCAAGAAGAAUGAAGGGAGCCCCUCGAGGACACUAGGAAGGAGUUCAGAUAGUGUCCGGUCUGCUGAUGACAAGAGGGAAGCCAUUUGCUGAAGGGAGGUUCUGGGAUCUGUCCAUGUCGCCUACAGCAAUGCAGCCUGCAGCUGGCCCGGCUUGGGGAGCCAUAACCUCAUCCUGUAAAAUCGAGAAGUACUGGCUCUCACUGAUGCGUAGAUGGAAAACCACACACCCCACCCGGAGGUAGAAGCCACCCAUUCCCAGGUUGUCCCGAGGAGCCAUGAUUCCUCCAGGAGCUGGGGAAGGGCACGGUGAUCAGUUUGUCAGAGGAUUCCCACUGGCUGUUCCAAUCCAGGAGGAGAACUCACAGCACCCGUGCAGUGAAGUGCCACUGAAACCCGCUGUGAUGCACAGACCUUGUCCUGGCUGUCUGCACAGGGCUGAAUUUCACCCCUUCAAAGUGUUAGAGCUCACCAUCCAUUGCGGAGGUGAAGACCAGAUGGGAGCUGCUGGAUCGACCUUGAUGAGCCAUGUCCUUGUGUGGAUGAAGGACCUACAUCUCAGGAUGGCCAGCAGCAGAUGUGAGAAUGUGUCCAGGAAUAGGCUAAACAACCUACACUGAUAGGUAAGUAAAGUCAUGGCCAC